UACGAAGGGGGCUAGCGUUGCUCGGAAUUACUGGGCGUAAAGCGUGCGCAGGCGGUGAUGUAAGACAGAUGUGAAAUCCCCGGGCUCAACCUGGGACCUGCAUUUGUGACUGCAUCGCUAGAGUACGGUAGAGGGGGAUGGAAUUCCGCGUGUAGCAGUGAAAUGCGUAGAUAUGCGGAGGAACACCGAUGGCGAAGGCAAUCCCCUGGACCUGUACUGACGCUCAUGCACGAAAGCGUGGGGAGCAAACAGG
rnacentral:rRNA from 1 species